rnacentral:rRNA from 1 species
UUACGGAAGGCAGCAGUGGGGAAUAUUGCACAAUGGAGGGAACUCUGAUGCAGCGACGCCGCGUGAAGGAUGAAGGUUUUCGGAUUGUAAACUUCUUUUAUAAGGGACGAAACAAAUGACGGUACCUUAUGAAUAAGCCACGGCUAACUACGUGCCAGCGGCCGCGGUAAUACGUAGGUGGCGAGCGUUGUCCGGAAUUACUGGGUGUAAAGGGCGUGCAGGCGGUUAUAUAAGUCGGAUGUGAAAGCCCACGGCUUAACUGUGGGAUUGCAUCCGAAACUAUGUAUCUUGAGUGCUGGAGAGGGAAGCGGAAUUCCUAGUGUAGCGGUGAAAUGCGUAGAUAUUAGGAGGAACACCAGUGGCGAAGGCGGCUUUCUGGACAGUAACUGACGCUGAGGCGCAAAGCGUGGGGAGCAAACAGGAUUAGAAACCCGAGUAGUCCG